rnacentral:rRNA from 1 species
CCUACGGGUGGCUGCAGUGGGGAAUAUUGGGCAAUGGACGCAAGUCUGACCCAGCAACGCCGCGUGAAGGAAGAAGGCUCUCGGGUUGUUAACUUCUUUUAAGGGGGAAGCGCAGAAGUCGGUACCCCUUGAUUAAGCCACGGCUAACUACGUGCCAGCCGCCGCGGUCAUACGUAGGGGGCAAGCGUUGUCCGGGUUUACUGGGUGUAAAGGGCGUGCAGCCGGUAAGACAAGUCAGAUGUGAAAUCCACGGGCGCAACCCGUGAACUGCCUGUGAAACUGAUUCCCUUGAGUGUCGGAGAGGUAAUCGGAAUUCCUGGUGUAGCGGUGAAAUGCGUAGAUAUAAGGAAGAACACCAGUGGCGAAGGCGGAUUACUGGACGAUAACUGACGGUGAGGCGCGAAAGCGUGGGGAGCAAACAGGAUUAGAUACCCGUGUAGUC